GUGCGACCCCAGGAUUGGCGGGAUGACCCGCUGAGUUUAAGCAUAUCAAUAAGCGGAGGAGAGGAAACUUACGAGGAUUCCCCUA
rnacentral:rRNA from 1 species